rnacentral:lncRNA from 1 species
AAGGCCAAGGCAGGCGAGGGAGGCUGAUGUAGGGUGGGGGUGGUGUCUCCACUACCCCGCAGGAUCAGCCACAGUGAAGUGGAGCUGCUCUCAUCCAGCCCUGCCCUGGGUCACGGCCUCCUGGUCUGGCCUCACAGUCUCCUCGGCUCGGCUCUCCAGGCCCCACAGGGCGGAUGGGAACUGAGGCCUCUUUCCUCCCAACGCUGUGUUUAUAAGAAAUGAAACUCCGCAGCGGGCCCCAGUGGCAGCCCACACGGUCACACGCACACUCCCGCGGGCGGGGGAGGGGCGAUGAGUUCCGGAGCGGCUCUGACACCACCACCGGGCGUCCUGUGUGACUUCAGCCUGUUGGGUCCCAGGGCAGAACCUUGUGCUUUCCCAGUCAGCUGCUGCAUCCCACUCGCCUCGUUUUGGAUUUAAAAUAAAUACAUAAAUAAAAAUAACGGUACAAAGUUUAU